UAUUGCCAAUAAAUAAGAUAAUAAUAAUAUGAAUAAUAUAACUUAUUAAUUUAAUUGUUUAAUAAGUAUAAUUUGCAGUUACUGAUUCGUUCAAUAAAACUCUCGGAUUCCCAUUUAUUGCUUGCAAUAUCAGCUAGCAGAAAAUAUCCCACAAUUUAAAUGCGCGCCUAAAAUAAAAUUCCCUAACAACCGAAUUUCCCGUUUGCACUCGCAUUUUUGUUCAGAGUUGGCGAGUCACUCGCACACACACAUGCAAGCAAAAACAAACGCUCUCGCUCUCGCUCUCUCACAGCCGCAGCAGCAGCAGCAGUAGCAGCUGCCGCAUAUGCCGCACCACGGCGAAUUGGACACAGCCAACGGCGGCGAAUGUAUUUGACAGUUGUACCAGUCGCCCGUGUGUGUGUUGUCUGUCUCUGUCAUCAUAGUCGCCGUCGCUGUGGCCGCCGUCUCGUUGUGCUUCAGUUUUUCUGAUUGUGGCCCAAGCAAAAACUAGGCAAACAUUUUUAAAAAACUUUAAUAAAAAUCGUCAAUGAAAUGCGCACAAAGCAAAGUCAUAUGUUGACUGCUCGUAAAUUUCAAAAGUAACUAAAUAAGUGCAAAACACAAAGUAUAAUAAAACAAAGCUGUGAAAAUUUUGUAUAGUGCGAACGCCUGAAAAAUUCUCUGCGCAGCAGCCGCCUUUUUUCGGCAACGACGAACGAAUUGGGUACAAAAGAAUGAAAUAUAUAUAAUAACGUAAUCGAAAUAUAAACAGUUUAAGUGGUUGUGCAUUUUGAUAUAUGACAAGUGCUGAAUAUCUGAUAGCAAGCAAAAAAGAUACAAUAUACAGCUACAUAUAUUUGUGCCCAAAAAUAUGUGCCAAAAAUACAAAAGUUUUACAACUCGCAAAAAAUUAUGACAAUAAAAUGUAAAAAUGGAAAUCAUUUAAGCAUAUAGAAAAACUUUAGCUAGAAAAAAACUAAAACAAAUUGUAAAAAAUAAAACUAACAA